rnacentral:lncRNA from 1 species
CGGGAUGACGAUCGGAAUUCAUUUUUGUAGACUUCGGAAAUUAGUACAUACAUGUAAAAAAAAAGUUCUUAUAAGUAAUCGUGUCAAUUAUAUCGCUCCAAUAUAUAUUUUGGUGGGAAGGUUGGCAGUCAGCAAUGUUCUUCUUUAUAAUUCUAAAAUGUAUCACCCUACGCGACAUACGUUGCGGUGGACAUUGAACUUUUCUAUGGGCUUCCGAAUGUGUCCGUGUUUCUGUCUAGCCACCUGGUUUGUUAGCCCUUUCAUGUAAAGUUCUUGUCAAUUGUGAAUUAAGCUUAUAUCAGAGAUGA